UACGGAGGGGGCUAGCGUUGUUCGGAAUUACUGGGCGUAAAGGGCGCGCAGGCGGCUGCUCAAGUCAGGCGUGAAAGGCCUGGGCUCAACCCGGGAAUUGCGCUUGAGACUGGGCUGGCUUGAGUGCGGGAGAGGAUGGUGGAAUUCCCAGUGUAGAGGUGAAAUUCGUAGAUAUUGGGAAGAACACCGGUGGCGAAGGCGGCCAUCUGGACCGCAACUGACGCUGAGGCGCGAAAGCGUGGGAGCAAACAGG
rnacentral:rRNA from 1 species